rnacentral:rRNA from 1 species
UGGCCGAAAGUCUAAGGUUUUUGGAGGAAGGUUCGUCCGCUCCAAGUAAGUCGGGAGCUAAGGCGAGGCCGAAAGGCGUAGUCGAUGCACAUACGGUUGAUAUUCCGUAACCGCUGAAAGAUUUAAACAAAGGGACACCUUGAAAGGGCAUAACCCCGGGGUUGGUACACCGGGGCGUAAGGGACCGAAAUUUAAGUAGGGAAGUAUGCAUGGACGAGGGCGAGAAAAGCUUUGCGAAUAUCUGAGGCGCCCGUACCGCAAACCGACACAGGUGGACAGGAAGAGAAUUCUAAGGCCAACGGGAGAAAGGUAGUUAAGGAACUCGGCAAAUUGACCCCGUAACUUAGGGAAAAGGGGUGCUCACUAAGGUGAGCCGCAGAGAAUAGGCCCAGGCGACUGUUUAGCAAAAACACAGGUCUCUGCCAAAUCGAAAGAUGAAGUAUAGGGGCUGACACCUGCCCGGUGCCGGAAGGUUAAGAGGAGGAGUGCAAGCUCUGAAUUGAAGCCCCGGUAAACGGCGGCCGUAACUAUAACGGUCCUAAGGUAGCGAAAUUCCUUGUCGGGUAAGUUCCGACCCGCACGAAUGGUGUAACGAUCUGGGCACUGUCUCAACUACCUGCCCGGCGAAAUUGUAGUACCGGUGAAGAUGCCGGUUACCUGCGACAAGACGGAAAGACCCCAUGGAGCUUUACUGCAGCUUGAUAUUGGGUUUCGGUAAUCUAUGUACAGGAUAGGCGGGAGACUAGGAAACCAGUGCGCCAGCAUUGGUGGAGUCAACGUUGGGAUACCGCUCUUAGGUUGCUGGAAUUCUAACCUGCGGCCAUGAAUCUGGUCGGGGGACAUUGUCAGGCGGGCAGUUUGACUGGGGCGGUCGCCUCCGAAAGAGUAACGGAGGCGCUCAAAGGUCAGCUCAGCACGGACGGAAACCGUGCAUCAGAGUGUAAACGCGUAAGCUGGCCUAACUGCGAGGGUGACGGCCCGAGCAGUAACGAAAGUUGGAGUUAGUGAUCCGGCGGUAUGUGAAUGGAAAUGCCGUCGCUCAACGGAUAAAAGCUACCCUGGGGAUAACAGGCUGAUCU